rnacentral:rRNA from 1 species
AUUGAACGCUGGCGGCAGGCUUAACACAUGCAAGUCGAGCGAGCGGCGGACGGGUGAGUAAUGUCUGGGAAACUGCCUGAUGGAGGGGGAUAACUACUGGAAACGGUAGCUAAUACCGCAUACCAUCAGAUGUGCCCAGAUGGGAUUAGCUAGUAGGUGGGGUAAUUGCUCCCCGAGGCGACGAUCCCUAGCUGGUCUGAGAGGAUGACCAGCCACAAUGGAACGGGGACACGGGCCAGCCACCUAAGGGAGGCAGCAGUGGGGAAUAUUGCACAAUGGGCGCAAGCCUGAUGCAGCCAUGCCGCGUGUGUGAAGAAGGCCUUCGGGUUGUAAAGCACGUUCAGCGAGGAGGCGUUACUCGCAGAAGAAGCACCGGCUAACUCCGUGCCAGCAGCCGCGGUAAGUC